rnacentral:rRNA from 1 species
CAGCAGUGGGGAAUAUUGCACAAUGGGGGAAACCCUGAUGCAGCGACGCCGCGUGGAGGAAGAAGGUCUUCGGAUUGUAAACUCCUGUUGUUGAGGAAGAUAAUGACGGUACUCAACAAGGAAGUGACGGCUAACUACGUGCCAGCAGCCGCGGUAAAACGUAGGUCACAAGCGUUGUCCGGAAUUACUGGGUGUAAAGGGAGCGCAGGCGGGAAGACAAGUUGGAAGUGAAAUCCAUGGGCUCAACCCAUGAACUGCUUUCAAAACUGUUUUUCUUGAGUAGUGCAGAGGUAGGCGGAAUUCCCGGUGUAGCGGUGGAAUGCGUAGAUAUCGGGAGGAACACCAGUGGCGAAGGCGGCCUACUGGGCACCAACUGACGCUGAGGCUCGAAAGUGUGGGUAGCAAACAGGAUUAGAUACCCUGGUAGUCCACACUGUAAACGAUGAUUACUAGGUGUUGGAGGAUUGACCCCUUCAGUGCCGCAGUUAACACAAUAAGUAAUCCACCUGGGGAGUACGACCGCAAGGUUGAAACUCAAAGGAAUUGACGGGGGCCCGCACAAGCAGUGGAGUAUGUGGUUUAAUUCGACGCAACGCGAAGAACCUUACCAAGUCUUGACAUCCUGCGACGGUGCUGGAAACAGUACUUUCCUUCGGGACGCAGAGACAGGUGGUGCAUGGUUGUCGUCAGCUCGUGUCGUGAGAUGUUGGGUUAAGUCCCGCAACGAGCGCAACCCUUAUGGUCAGUUACUACGCAAGAGGACUCUGGCCAGACUGCCGUUGACAAAACGGAGGAAGGUGGGGAUGACGUCAAAUCAUCAUGCCCUUUAUGACUUGGGCUACACACGUACUACAAUGGCGUUAAACAAAGAGAAGCAAGACCGCGAGGUGGAGCAAAACUCAGAAACAACGUCCCAGUUCGGACUGCAGGCUGCAACUCGCCUGCACGAAGUCGGAAUUGCUAGUAAUCGCAGAUCAGCAUGCUGCGGUGAAUACGUUCCCGGGCCUUGUACACACCGCCCGUCACACCAUGAGAGCCGGGGGGACCCGAAGUCGGUAGUCUAACCGCAAGGAGGACGCCGCCGAAGGUAAAACUGGUGAUUGGGGUGAAGUCGUAACAAGGUAGCCGUAGGAGAACCUGCGGCUG